GUGCCCAUAGCUCAGUCGGUUAGAGCGCCUGGUUGUGGUCCAGGAGGUCACCGGUUCAAAUCCGGUUGGGCACCCCA
rnacentral:tRNA from 1 species